UACGUAGGGUGCAAGCGUUGUCCGGAAUUAUUGGGCGUAAAGAGCUCGUAGGCGGUCUGUUGCGUCGGCUGUGAAAACCCGGGGCUCAACCCCGGGCCUGCAGCCGAUACGGGCAGACUAGAGUUCGGCAGGGGAGACUGGAAUUCCUGGUGUAGCGGUGAAAUGCGCAGAUAUCAGGAGGAACACCGGUGGCGAAGGCGGCUUCCUGGACCGACACUGACGCUGAGGCGCGAAAGCUAGGGGAGCAAACGGG
rnacentral:rRNA from 1 species